AUUUCUUGGGCCGCUCCCGCGGCAUAUGGAGGUUCCCAGGCUAGGGGUCGAAUCGGAGCUGUAGCCACCAGUCUACGCCAGAGCCACAGCAACGCAGGAUCCGAGCCACGUCUGCAACCUACACCACAGCUCACGGCAACGGCAACGCCAGAUCGUUAACACACUGAGCAAGGGCAGGAACUGAACCUGCAACCUCAUGGUUCCUAGUCAGAUUCGUUCACCACUGCGCCACGACAGGAACUCCUGGAUUCGUUUUAAUUGUGCCACGAUGGGAACUCCCUGAAGUCUUAAUUUCAACUGGAACCCCAAGGGUAUAUGCAAAUGAUCCCCAGGUCCUGAAGUCAGGCAUCUACGCAAAUGAGGAGGAUCAAAAGGUUUACUUGGAGUGAACAGCUCCAGUAGUGAUCCAGUGUAGACGCUAAGGUCAUGAUCCCAGAGGACCAUAUUGUGACAAGAAGUCAGAGUCCUGGGGAAGGUAGUGAGAGCUCACUUCCUCUGACCCUGACACUGGCAAAUGUUGAGAAGAACACCAUGUAACAGGUGCUGUAAACUUUGAUCAGUCCCACUGUACUGGGUGUGGCAACUGGUUCACUACUUAGUUAAGUUUACUCUAGUUCACCCUUAUUAGCCUUGAUCCUUCAGGUGUUGUAGGGCACCCUCCAUCCCUUGGGCUGUACUACGCUCUGCUGUUCCCCUGAGGAUUGUCUGUUUUUUAUUUUGUUUUGUUUUUUUGCUUUUUAGGGCCGCACCUGCGGCAUAUGGAGGGUCCCAGGCUGGGGGUUGAAGUGGAGCUACAGCUGUUUGCCUACACCACAGCCACAGCAGCUCGGGAUCAGAGGUGAGUCUGCCACCUACACCACAGCCCAUAGCAACACCAGAUCCUUAGCCCCCUGAUCGAGGCCAGGGAUGGAAACUGCAUCCUCAUGGAUCCUAGUCGGGUUCGUUAACCACUGAGCCAUGAAGGGAACUCUGGAUUGCCCUAACUUUUAUCUUGCCUGGUUGGGGACAGUUUCAGUAACUUCUCCCCAUCUUUCUUAUUCUACAUGCCAGGAAAUCUUUGCACGGGCUCUCUUCAAAUGCUGUGUAUCUUCACAACUACACAUGUUGGGACUGGGAACUGACCACAUCCAGGCCAUGGACCCAAUGGACCUAGUGGUCCCACGACAGGGGAUCUUGGAUCAAAACUCCACUUAUCACCUGUCUUCAUAAGCCCAACUCUACCUGGAGGUAAGUUGGACAUAGUUCAGGGCAACCCAGAUUCUCCAUCUCUUUCCUUGGGCUCCAUAGCCCUGAUGUAUGGCUGCAGGCUCUCUGGAGAAGGGCUGGGGUCAUAGCUACCAUUUAUACUUGUACUGGUGUUGCCAAGUCUUUCAGCAGGGGGAACUGGCAGGCUUCCUGCCAAUCAGUGUGCUUUUAGGUCUGUGAACUGAUUUAAGCUGUGAGUGAGAGACUAUGAUUUUCCAUUGCUGUGGUUAAUUUCACACUUGAGCUUUCCAACACCUGGGUUCCUUUUUCAUGAUUUGAGUCAGGUUGCAUCCCAAUUAGCUGGCUGCCAUCCCUCUCACCCCCAGCACAGAGCCCCUGGGUCUGUCUGUCACCAGCACAGUCUUCCCAGGCCCAGGACUUUCACUGCUACUCUGGCCACUUCAUCCUCCUUGUGCAGCCACCUCCCCUCUACUCUUCCAGGACCUUGCCCCACCCCGGCAACCACGAAUCUGUUCACUAUGUCUGAGUCUGUUUCUGUUUUGUAGAUAGGUUCAUCUGUGUUAUAUUUUAGAUUCCACAUAUAAGUGAUAUCAUGUGGUAUUUGUCUUUCUCUGACUUACUUCGCUUAGUAUAAUAAUCUGUAGGUCCAUCCAUGUUGCUGCAAAUGGCAUUAUUUCAUUCUUUUUUAUGGCUUACUAGUAUUACAUUGUACUUACGUACCACAUCUUCUUAAUCCAUCACUCCAUCAAUGGACAUUUAGGUUGCUUCCAUGUCUUGGCUAUUGUAAAGAGUGCUGCUAUGAACAUAUGGGUGCAUGUAUCUUUUUGCUGUUGCUGUUAUUGCUUUUUAGGGCCACACCUGCAUCAUACGGAAGUUGCCAGGCUAGGGGUCAAAUCAGAGCUACAGUUGCCGGCCUAUGCUACAGCCACGGCAACGCCAGAUCUGAGCCAUGUCUGUGACCUACACCACAGUGCAUGGCAACAUCAGAUCCUUAACCUAAUGAAUGAGGCCAGGGAUGGAACCUGCAUCUUCAUAGAUACUAGUCAGGCAGGAAGUGAGAGGCACUCAAAAGAUAGAAUUCAUACUGCUAUGAUACUGAGCACAGCUGAUUAAGAUUUGGGGAUUUGAAUGCAUCUUCCAUAGUAAAAACGUACUUCAUAAAAAAAUUUGAUAGAAGAAAUAUGAAUUAAAACUGUCUAGAACUUCUGUUCCACCUGGGGAGAAAAAAUUUUCUGCAAACAAUGUGAAUUUUUUUGUAUUUUUAUUUAAUUUAGUUGUAAUUCACUUAAGAAGCAGCCCAAUUUACACUUAAGCAUAAAAUAAUAGGAAGUAGGGAGUAGUUGCAGAUAAAAAGAAAACAAGGAAAAGAAUGUAGCGCAUUCAAAUAUCUUAAGUUUGUUGAGAAUAAUUAUAAUUCCUAAUGUUAGCAGGGAUGUGGGCAAACUCAUAUCAUUUUAUUUAUUUAUUUAUUUAUGUCUUUUUAGGGCUGCACCAGCAGCAUAUGGAUGUUCCCAGGCUUGGGGUCAAAUCAGAGCUACAGCUGCCAGCCUACACUACAGCCACAGCAACGCUAGCUCUGAGCCUCAUCUGCGACCCACGAGACAGCUCACAGCAACGCCAGCUCUUUAAUCCACCGAGUGGGGCCAGGGAUCGAACCCACAUCCUCCUGGAUACUAGUCCAAUACUACCGCUGAGCCACAACAGAAACUCCUUUCAUAUAGUUUUAGAUACCUAUCUAAGAACACAAUGGUUCUUUUCUUUCAUAAAGCAAUUUAGUAGUGCUUUUCAAAAGCUACAAAAAUAUCUUUAGUGGGUGAGCUAAGCACUGGCCCAUCUCCCCUCAACAAUCACCUCUACUCUCAGAGGCUAUUUUCUCCUUAAAAAUGUUCUGGCCGUGGGAACCGUCCAUUUGGGCUGCUACAACCCAAGCAGCAUAGACUGGGUGGGUCAAAUAAUUCUUACAGUUCUGGAAGCUGGGAAGUGCAAGACCAAAUGCCAGCGGAUUUAGUGUCUAAAGAGAGCCAGGUGUCUGGUUUACAGAAACUGCCUUUGGUCUUCUCGCAAGAGAACUCUCUGAGGAUUUUUUAAGGAGGCUCCACCCUCAGGACCUACUGGCCUCCCUAAGGCCCCGCCUCCACCUCAACCUGUGAAUCUGGGGGGAAGCAAACAUGCAGUUGAGGCGGGAAGGCACCUAGGUCACAUUGGCCAGCAGGCUGGAGCGCUAGGGAGCUAAUGGCCUCUAGGAGCCUUUUUCACACCAGGACAGGUGGGGCAGCUCGUGGGUAACCCCAGCUUCCUCUGCCUCCAUCUGGGCAACAGCACUGGUUCUGUACUUCCUUGUAGGGUUCCCAGUGGGACCAGGUCCAGUUGGUAGCAAACCCUUUACCACUUCCUUCCCUCCUGUCCCUGCCUCCCUUCCACACUUCUUUACCAGGCUUUCCUGGCAUUACCUCCCACAUGGUGCAUCUGCACUCAGGCCCCCUUCUGGGCUGGCCUCUGGGAUGUCUAAACGGAGCUGCAUUGAUACCUUUGGCCCAGUCAUUCCACUUCUGGGUAUUUAUUCCAAGAAAAUAAUCCUUCAAGAGGAAGGAGCAGUUAUAUCUAAAAAUCAUAUCGCAGCAUUUUUAUAUGACAGGGAAACUGGAAACAAUCUCAAUGUCCAAAAAAUCCAUUCAGUCGCAUUUAUUUGUUUGUUUAUUUAUUUUUUUAUUUUGGGCCGUGCCCAAGGGAUGUGAAAUUUCCCAGGCCAGCCAGCAACCCAAGCCCCUGCAAUACGCUGCCAGAUCCUUAAUCCUCCGGGCCACAGGGGAGCUCCCAGUCACAUUUAUUUUUCACCUACUGUAUCCUGGGCACUGUGCUGGACUGGGCAUUCCCAAAUGGAAUGUCGUACAAUUGGACAGGACAGGAAACAAGGCAGGAAGAUGAUGGAACCUGAACAAAGGCAGCAUGGGGGAGGGGCAGAGUGGAGCAUGGGUUUGACAGAGUCUUUAGAAGGAAGAAUCUGAGCCAGUAGACACAGAAGAUAAAGGAUGGGGAGAUGGGGACGAUAAAGUCCAGGUCUGUGCUGGGGUGGAUGGGUGAUGGGAGAGAGAAUGCGGGAAAAGAAGCAGGUCUCAGCUAGAAGGCCUCCAUUUGGGUAACUUGAGUUUGAGAAGAUUUACAAGAUUGCUUUGACAUUAUUUAAUGUCUAUGGACCCUCCUGCCACUGCACUAUUUAAGCCAGGCCCCUGGACCCCUGUCUGCGUGAAGUUUCAUUCAAAAGAGAACAAAAAUCCGGAGUUCCCGUCAUGGUGCAGUGGUGAACGAAUCCGACUAGGAACCAUGAGGUUGCGGGUUCGGUCCAUGCCCUUGCUCAGUGGGUUAACGAUCCGGCGUUGCCGUGAGCUGUGGUGUAGGUUGCAGACGUGGCUCGGAUCCAGCGUUGCUGUGGCUCUGGCCUAGGCUGGUGGCUACAGCUCCGAUUCAACCCCUAGCCUGGGAACCUCCAUAUGCUGCAGGAGCGGCCCAAGAAAUAGCAAAAAAAAAAAAAAAAAAAAAAAAAAAAAA
rnacentral:lncRNA from 1 species